UGGAUGGGUCAUGAGAAUGAGGGAUUUGC
rnacentral:piRNA from 2 species